UAUCUCCUCAAAAUUCCUCUAAAAGUGAAGAUAUUUCUCUGGUUUUUAAAUAGAGGAGUCAUCCUAACUAGAGAUUAUCUGGCACGACGCAACUGGCAUGGUAUCAAGACAUGUGUCUUUUGCCAAUAUGACAAGUCUAUUAAAUACUUAUUUUUUGAGUGCAAGUUCGCAAGGGCAGUUUGA
rnacentral:rRNA from 1 species